rnacentral:lncRNA from 1 species
CUGCGGUUGCCGGUAGCCUAUUUGUAGCGUGCAGCGUCCAAUUUUCUGUGUCAAAUUUUGGUUACAUAUCAUCGCCUGUUCUAGUGGAGAAUAUUUGCCCUGUUCCUCAUUUCAUUAAGUAUAUUAAAUCGUUAUUAAGAGUAAAAAGUGGUCCCAAUUCUUAGGAACCUUUCGCUUGUGUUUCCUCAUAAUGGAGCUUCAUUGAGUGGCCUCACUCCAGACAAGCACCUGCACUCAGAUUUAUUUCCAAGUAUUCUGGAAUUUCCAAGCGGCUAAUAGUCUAUGAUCUGAUUGUCCAUCCUGUAUCUGAGCAAUCAUUGGUAGAGGGUUAGCAGCAAAAUCAAAUCAUCUCAAAAUUCAUCAUGUAUUGCUUCAAAACAACAAUAACAUCAAGGGAGACCGAAGAUGUAGUGUAACUUAAAUAAUCAUGAAAAGUGAUUUUCAAAGUUUCAACUAUCCAGAUUUUAAUUUUUUCCAAGAAAGAAAAAAAGUGUAAGUGCUGUGUUAAAAUGCAUAUAAUUCUCAAUCAGUAUCUAAACCAAGUUACCUAAUCAGAAUUUAAGUUUUAAAGAAGAACUUAAUAUUUGAUGAGGCGGCCUUUGCGGAAAACGGUUUCAUUUCAUGGAUGAAAGUCCGGACUUCGACCUCAUAUCAGCCCGAGGGAAAUUAAUUGAUGUCCCAAUUAAAAUUAAUUUUUCGAGGAAUUAAGUUAGUCACUGAUAUAUACACAGAACAGCGACAUGAGUGUGGUUAUAUAAAGAAAGAGAGGAAAAUUAAACAUUUGAAGGCUUGAAAACCACUCAAAAUUGGAUACACUAAAACUGAAUUUUCGCAUCGAAUAUCACUCGGCCGCUGGUGUGCCCGCGCGGUGAUGGAACGCAAAUACGGAAGACAUGCCCAACACAAUGGAAGUGGCUGAUAUGGUAAAAUAUGGUACUUUUUUUUAAAAAAUAGAACAGAAUUAAAGGAUACAGAUAUUUGAUGAAAACGUUGAAGUUCAGUAAUUUAAUCGUCACCUCUUCGCGUG